rnacentral:rRNA from 1 species
UCUGGUUGAUCCUGCCAGUAGUUAUAUGCUUGUCUCAAAGAUUAAGCCAUGCAUGUCUAAGUACACACGAAUUAAAAGUGAAACCGCAAAAGGCUCAUUAUAUCAGUUAUGGUUCCUUAGAUCGUUAACAGUUACUUGGAUAACUGUGGUAAUUCUAGAGCUAAUACAUGCAAUUAAAACAUGAACCUUAUGGGACAUGUGCUUUUAUUAGGCUAAAACCAAGCGAUCGCAAGAUCGUUAUAUUGGUUGAACUCUAGAUAACAUGCAGAUCGUAUGGUCUUGUACCGACGACAGAUCUUUCAAAUGUCUGCCCUAUCAACUUUUGAUGGUAGUAUCUAGGACUACCAUGGUUGCAACGGGUAACGGGGAAUCAGGGUUCGAUUCCGGAGAGGGAGCCUGAGAAACGGCUACCACAUCUAAGGAAGGCAGCAGGCGCGUAAAUUACCCACUCCCAGCUCGGGGAGGUAGUGACGAAAAAUAACAAUACAGGACUCAUAUCCGAGGCCCUGUAAUUGGAAUGAGUACACUUUAAAUCCUUUAACAAGGACCAAUUGGAGGGCAAGUCUGGUGCCAGCAGCCGCGGUAAUUCCAGCUCCAAUAGCGUAUAUUAAAGUUGUUGCGGUUAAAACGUUCGUAGUUGAACUUGUGCUUCAUACGGGUAGUACAACUUACAAUUGUGGUUAGUACUAUACCUUUAUGUAUGUAAGCGUAUUACCGGUGGAGUUCUUAUAUGUGAUUAAAUACUUGUAUUUUUUCAUAUGUUCCUCCUAUUUAAAAACCUGCAUUAGUGCUCUUAAACGAGUGUUAUUGUGGGCCGGUACUAUUACUUUGAACAAAUUAGAGUGCUUAAAGCAGGCUUCAAAUGCCUGAAUAUUCUGUGCAUGGGAUAAUGAAAUAAGACCUCUGUUCUGCUUUCAUUGGUUUUCAGAUCAAGAGGUAAUGAUUAAUAGAAGCAGUUUGGGGGCAUUAGUAUUACGACGCGAGAGGUGAAAUUCUUGGACCGUCGUAAGACUAACUUAAGCGAAAGCAUUU